AGCGAACGCUGGCGGCAGGCUUAACACAUGCAAGUCGAACGGGCAUAGCAAUAUGUCAGUGGCAGACGGGUGAGUAACGCGUGGGAACGUACCUUUUGGUUCGGAACAACACAGGGAAACUUGUGCUAAUACCGGAUAAGCCCUUACGGGGAAAGAUUUAUCGCCGAAAGAUCGGCCCGCGUCUGAUUAGCUAGUUGGUAGGGUAAUGGCCUACCAAGGCGACGAUCAGUAGCUGGUCUGAGAGGAUGAUCAGCCACAUUGGGACUGAGACACGGCCCAAACUACUACGGGAGGCAGCAGUGGGGAAUAUUGGGAAAUGGGCGAAAGCAUGAUCCAGCCAUGCCGGGUGAGUGAUGAAGGCCGUAGGGUUGUAAAGCUCUUUUGUGCGGGAAGAUAAUGACGGUACCGAAAGAAUAAGCCCCGGCUAACUUCGUG
rnacentral:rRNA from 1 species